rnacentral:sRNA from 1 species
GGGACAGCCCUGGAGACUGGAGUCCUGUUUAUGCACAGAACAGGUGCAUCACAGGAGCUUUUUGCCAUGCCAUCCUGCUAAUACACCUCCCCCCCCCGACCCACAGGGAGUAACUUCUGGGGAGCACUGGGAUAGCUGUCCCCUUGGCCUCUUUGCAAAGUUUGG